UGGGGAAUAUUGGACAAUGGGCGAAAGCCUGAUCCAGCAAUGCCGCGUGGGUGAAGAAGGCCUGCGGGUUGUAAAGCCCUUUUAGUGAGAAAGAAGGUCGGUACGCUAACACCGUGUCGAAUUGACGUUACUCACAGAAAAAGCACCGGCUAACUCCGUGCCAGCAGCCGCGGUAAUACGGGGGGUGCAAGCGUUAAUCGGAAUUACUGGGCGUAAAGCGUGCGUAGGCGGUUUGGUCAGUCAGCCGUGAAAUCCCCGGGCUUAACCUGGGAAUGGCGGUUGAGACGGCCAGGCUAGAGUGGGCUAGAGGAUCGUGGAAUUCCUGGUGUAGCGGUGAAAUGCGUAGAGAUCAGGAAGAACACCGAUGGCGAAGGCAGCGAUCUGGGGCCCAACUGACGCU
rnacentral:rRNA from 1 species